ACUUAUUCCCAGCUCUCUGGCGAUCCUUAGUCCUGCGAUCAGAGCUUCAUAUUCCGCUCCAUUGUUUGUUGUGGGGAACUCGAAAUGCAGAGCGUACUCCGCUAUGACUCCCUCCGGACUGACCAAGAUCAGGCCUGCACCUGCACCCGACAUGUUGGAAGAUCCAUCCACAUAGAGGGUCCAAAAGCGAUCGGAGGGAUUGGCCUCUUCGUUGGGGGAGUUCGGUUGAGACUUCAGGUCGUCAACUUUGCUUUGCUCAGGUUCGACCUCCUCUGGGAUGGUGCACUCUACUAUAAAAUCUGCCAGUAUUUGGGCCUUUACUGCUGGUCUAGGUCUG
rnacentral:lncRNA from 1 species